AAAAAGGGAUCUUAUUCUUAUAAGCAUGUAUGUCAGCAUAUUUAGGGGUACACAUGAAAUCUGAGAUUUCUGUUUUCCUGAACCAAUCCUUUCGAUAAAAUGUAAUCUCUCUCGAUCUUCUUUCUCCUGAAACCCUAAUUCUUUUCCUCAAUCGGUUAGGGUUUUGUUUGUCGCACGUAUAACAAUUCAUGCACAACAGUUGUUUCGAACAAUAGUGGUUGAUCAGGGGAUGAUUGGUAGAGAUGGCACGAGAGGUGUUAGCGGAGACGGAAACGACGUCGUUGGAGGGGAUGCUGGUGAAGAAGAAAGGAACGGCGAGUGCACGGAGCUGGAUAUUGAUCGAUAGUGACGUGAAUGAGACGGUUAUGGAUAUUGAUAAGUAUGCAAUCAUGCAUCGAGUUCAGAUUCAUGCUCGUGAUCUCAGAAUUCUCGAUCCUCUUUUGUCUUAUCCAUCUACCAUCUUAGGCCGUGAACGAGCAAUUGUUCUAAAUUUGGAGCAUAUCAAGGCUAUUGUCACUGCUGAAGAGGUGUUGCUUCGAGAUCCUUGGGAUGACAAUGUAAUACCAGUUGUUGAGGAACUUAGGAGGAGAUUGCCUGUUGUAAAUGCCAACGAUGUUGAAACUGGUGAAGAAGAUGAAUCUCCGUUUGAAUUCCGAGCACUUGAGGUUUUCCUAGAGGCCAUCUGCAGCUUUCAUGCUGCCCGUACCACUGAACUAGAAACCGAUGCAUACCCAGCCUUGGAUGAGCUUACAUCUAAGAUCAGUAGCCGUAACUUGGAUCGGGUUCGUAAACUGAAAAGUGCAAUGACAAGGUUGACUGCUCGUGUUCAAAAGGUUAGGGAUGAACUUGAACGACUUUUAGAUGACGAUGAUGACAUGGCAGACCUUUACUUAUCAAGGAAGUUGUCUUCUGGUUCACCAGUAAGCGGGUCAGGUGCAGCUGGUUGGUUUCUUGGGUCACCCACUAUAGGCUCAAAGAUAUCUCGAGCUAGCAGGGCAAGUGUAAUUACGGUUCAUGGAGACGAGAAUGACGUUGAGGAGCUCGAGAUGCUUCUAGAGGCCUACUUUAUGCAAAUUGAUGGAACGUUAAACAAGUUAACAAGCCUGCGCGAAUAUAUUGAUGAUACAGAAGAUUACAUUAACAUUCAGUAGCUUGAAUUUGAGGAUCAUCUCAUUUCCAUUUAUAUGUAUGAUGGCAGCUGGAGCUCUUUCUAAGUUCAGGAACCGUAUGUAUGUCAAUAUAUGCUUUAGUGACUGGCAUAUUUGGGAUGAAUAUACCUUACACGUGGAAUGACGAUCACGGCUACAUGUUUAAAUGGGUGGUGAUUGUGUCGGGUGCAUUCUCUGCAGUUCUUUUUCUUCUGAUUGUUUUCUAUGCUCGAUUUAAAGGGCUCGUUGGAUCUUGAAUCUGAUUACAAAAGUUGUAUUCUUUCAGGCACGAAAGUACUAAUACUGACUCUCUAGUCUCUUGCUUGUUUUCGUUCUUUUAUUUCAAGACGAAGAAGGAGAAGCAAUACAAACUCAAGUUGGACCGACUGUCGUGGUGACAUGGAAAUCAUUGGUUCACCUCAGUUGUCUAUGAAUCUUGAAGAGAGAAUCCCUUUCAAGCUAUAUUGCACUUCUUUCUCUUUAAAUUUGGCUUGUAGAUUUCUGUAAUUUGAAUGGUGGUACAACAGACUAGGGUGUGCAGGGUGCCAAUCGUAUUGGGUUGGCGGAUCCUGUUUGACCAAUUGUUUCACCUGAACACGAUUUGUAUAUGUAUUAGUGUAAAGAUAUAAACUCGAACAGGACCCAUGCACCCACUUAUCCAAAUGAGUUAAGACGGGUUGGCAAGUCAAUAAUGUUUAAACAAGUUAACGGUUUUACAUGUA